AUUGAACGCUGGCGGCAUGCUUUACACAUGCAAGUCGAACGGUAACAGGGUGCUUGCACCGCUGACGAGUGGCGAACGGGUGAGUAAUGCGUCGGAACGUGCCGAGUAGUGGGGGAUAACGCAGCGAAAGUUGUGCUAAUACCGCAUACGUACUGAGGUAGAAAGUGGGGGACCUUCGGGCCUCACGCUAUUCGAGCGGCCGACGUCUGAUUAGCUAGUAGGUGAGGUAAAGGCUCACCUAGGCGACGAUCAGUAGCGGGUCUGAGAGGAUGAACCGCCACACUGGGACUGAGACACGGCCCAGACUCCUACGGGAGGAAGCAGUGGGGGAUUUUGGACAAUGGGCGAAAGCCUGAUCCAGCCAUGCCGCGUGGCUGAAGAAGGCCUUCGGGUUGUAAAGGACUUUUGUCAGGGAGGAAAUCCCUAGUGCUAAUAACACUGGGGGAUGACAGUACCUGAAGAAUAAGCACCGGCUAACUACGUGCCAGCCUCCGCCGUAA
rnacentral:rRNA from 1 species